UGGGGCGUCGCCAAAUUGGCAAGGCACCGGCCUUUGGAGCCGGCAUUUGCAGGUUCGAGUCCUGCCGCCCCAG
rnacentral:tRNA from 1 species